AACGAACGCUGGCGGCAUGCCUAACACAUGCAAGUCGAACGAGACCUUCGGGUCUAGUGGCGCACGGGUGCGUAACGCGUGGGAAUCUGCCCUUGGGUUCGGAAUAACAGUUAGAAAUGACUGCUAAUACCGGAUGAUGUCGUAAGACCAAAGAUUUAUCGCCCAAGGAUGAGCCCGCGUAGGAUUAGCUAGUUGGUGGGGUAAAGGCCUACCAAGGCGACGAUCCUUAGCUGGUCUGAGAGGAUGAUCAGCCACACUGGGACUGAGACACGGCCCAGACUCCUACGGGAGGCAGCAGUGGGGAAUAUUGGACAAUGGGCGAAAGCCUGAUCCAGCAAUGCCGAGUGAGUGAUGAAGGCCCUAGGGUUGUAAAGCUCUUUUACCCGGGAUGAUAAUGACAGUACCGGGAGAAUAAGCCCCGGCUAACUCCGUGCCAGCCGCCGCUGUAAGAC
rnacentral:rRNA from 1 species